rnacentral:lncRNA from 1 species
AUGUCCCCAAGAGUUCUUCACGAUGACAAUGAGAUGUUCCUGAGGGUCCGCCAUGGUGUCCAUGGGAUGUCCUUGAGGAGCCUCCAGGGUGACAACGAUGUCCCCAAAGCCACCGUGGUGUCCAUGGGAUGUCCCCAAGGGUCCACCAGGGUGACAACGAGAUGUCCCCAAAGCCACCCUGGUGUCCGUGGGAUGUCCUUGAGGAGCCUCCAGGGUGACAGAGAUGUCCCCAAAGCCACCGUGGUGUCCAUGGGAUGUCCCCAAAGCCACCGUGGUGUCCAUGGGAUGUCCCCAAAGCCACCGUGGUGUCCAUGGGAUGUCCCCGAGGAGCCUCCAGGGGGUCCCAAAGUUGACCAAUUAAAGGAUUUCACCCCAAAUCUGGAGUGGCCUCCUCAGGGCUGGGGACAACGGAGAGCUCUGGGGACAUCAGAGAGCUCUGG